AAGGAUCAUUAUUAUUUGGGUCGGGUUUACUUCUUUUCAGUUGCUGUCCUUUAGUGUCUUAGUAUAUUUAAGAAGUAAACUUUUACCAAAUAAUCCUAUAUUUCUCCUAUAGGAGCAAGAUAAACUUGUAUUUAAAACCCACACUUUGUAUUUUAUAUAUUUUUUGAAUGAUAAAAUUAAAGAUCACUUUCAACAACGGAUCUCUUGGCUCUC
rnacentral:misc_RNA from 1 species